UGAUGAUCUAUAACCAAGUGGGUGAGAGCUGCUCUUCUGUCUUCUGAGUAGGCUUCUGUCAGUUGUCAUCUGGUCAUUGGUGGAUUGCACUGAUCUGGCAGUUUGCCGAGGCUAAGUCAAUAUCUUUGUCCUCAGGCCUCCCUGGCGCUGGUGGAAUUCACGCAAGUUGUGAGUCCCUAUGGCACUGGCACCAGUUCACAUCAUUGCACCUGUGGUGCUUUUGCCCUGGCUGUCUCUUGUUCAGACAACACAGCAAAAUGCUUUUUGGAAGUUAAGAAUUACUGCAUCCAUCUAAUGACCUUAAUCCAUGGUAUUCAGGAUGUCAUGUGAGAAAAAUAUGUGUUUUUGCAGGCAGAUGAAGACUCUGCAGUGGGACAAUAAUUGUGCUUGGGUAUUUUGGUUGGUACAAGAGAUUGAAUGUGAAAGGCAGUUCUCUAGGCUUCAGUCCCAGUCUGGAGCACACUUUUAAUAUCACAGACUCCAAAAACAUGAAAAUCACUUGGAGAGAGAUUGGGACAGUAUGGGGGAUGUGUAAGGACCUCGCAGUAAAACUCUUGCAGUGCAGCUGAAACAACACAUACUUGUUCCAAGACUAGGUGAACUAAGUCAUUGAUGACAUAUCCAAAAGCUGGAAAAGCAUUGAAAUGAAAUAGAUUCUCCAUACCUGUGCUGUGAAUGACAACGAAGGUCAAGGAUGUUGCAGAAGGACUGCACUGGCCACUUACAAGAUCAACACCACUGUGAAAGCAGGUGCCAGUUUCAAAGCUGUGACUGCAGUGAGCUGUGAAAAAGCAUCAGAGCCGAGCAGAUUCAGAUUCAGAUUCUUUAUUGGUCUUUCAGUAUUAUUGCAGGCAAUAGACUUUGUCAGUUCACUUAAGCU